AGUAGUUCACAGUGGGCAUAUCAGCUGCAGUAAAGCCUCAGAGAAGAAGUUUCUUCUCCCACAGUCCUCCUUGUGGUAAAGUGACCUCUGCAGCUAGUCGUUAGCCUGCUGUAAAACCAUGGCUCCUCCAGUUGCAGUGUCGCCGUUGAUUAAGACAGCAAGGUACUCUGCUUUGAUUGCUGGCAUCAUCUAUGGCAAAAAGAGAUAUGAUCACCUGAAGCCAAUUGCUGCUGAGGAGAAGAGGAUUGAAGCGGAGGAGAAAAAGGUUCGCGAGGAGCAGGAGCGCAUCGCUAAAGAGCUAGCAGAAGCCAGUGAAGAUACCAUUCUGAAGUAAAGCUGCUCUGCCAUGUGAGGAUGUCUACGUGCAAUUCCCAACCUCUCCCUCCUUUUUCCUGGUGCCGGGUCCCAACAAGUCAAACACUCCCAUGUUGUGGACGUAUUCACUGUUACCUUGUAUAAUAUAACACCUCUCUGGGUUGCCAGAUACAGUGGUUUUUAGGUUAGUUACAGCUCUUGAACUCAGCAUUGUAAUGCUGCAAAUGCAGCAGCACUGCACUCAUAAGUUAUAUAGUUCCUGUUUGUAAUGAAACAAUGUAAUAAAUACAGAAGUACAUGA